GAGCUGGGGCUGGGGCCUGGGCCUGGUAGGGCCCCGCUCCACCGGAUCCGCCUGAGGCCGAGGGGCGGGCCGGCAGGCGGCGGGAGCGGGCUCUGUGAGGGUGGCUCGGGUGCCUGUCACGGGUGGGUCUGCACCACGGGUGCCGCCGAGACCUCCGCGGAUAGCCGGCCGGCAGCAGAGGGAGCGUGGUGGGCCUCGAGUGGUCGCAGACCUCUGUGAGGCCGUGUUUGCUCCGGGGGGCAGGUGACACUGCCUCUCUGUGUGACGGAUAGCCGGCCUCGAGUGGGGGUCAGCCGUGGGACGCCUUGGGCAGGGUGUACUGGUCUCCUCCGUGUAUGUGUACUGACUGUUUGUUUCUUCACUGGUCGGUAACAACUUUUUCACUCAAGGAAACCAUCUAUUCUUUGGUCAGUGUUAUCCUGUCUUGGGCAAGCAAGAUGGUUGAAGCUUUUCCUGCUUUAUUAGGUUUGUCAUAUUGGUGCUUAAUCAUUUUUCUGCUUUCAGGUCACUGGCUGAAGUUAGCUGUGCUCUUUUUACUUCACCAAAAUGACUUAAUAAAAUAGAUGGCAAGACCCAAGCACUAAGGAAGGUCUUUUUACAGGUUUGCUUUGGAGCCUGCUUCUAAUGCUUUAAAGCAAAGCAGAAGAGGAAAAUGGAGAAUGAAGAUUAUCAUGUGUUUUCAAGGCUCACUUAGCCAACAAUUACAAGGAAAACUUGAGGAAGACAAGACCAAACUAAUAUUUUAGAGAAUUUUCCCAUUGGGAAUGGGAUGAAGGGAAGCAAUGUCUCUGUGCUCUAAGCUGUUGAUAGUUGUCAAGUGCAUGUUUCAGAUAGGUAGGCUAGCUGUCUACAAGUUAAUAAGUUCAACUUUUAUUGUUUAUUUUAUAAUCUUUGUUUCUUAACAGCUGAUCUUUGUCUUUUUUGUCAAACGGAUGAUCUUAUUGCUGUGUGUAAUUCAGUGAAUAACUUGUAUUGUUGCCUGGCAAAAGCAGGCUCAUUUUGAUGCAGAUUGGGGGUUUUUUAGACUUACGUCUGUGUUGAUACCACUACUUGUGUGAACAACUUUCAGUAUGGAUUAGCAUAUUUGUUCACAAAAAAAAAAGAAAAAAGAUUUGAGCAUUUUAUUAGUAGUAAAUGAAGGAAGAGAUUCAGUUUUCUGUAGUAAAACUCCAUGCCAACAUGAUGUUAGUUGCAGCAGCCAAUAGUUGGCAGUGUUAGGUUUUGGCAGUGCAGUGCUGGGAUCUAGCACUGAACAUGUCUGGGUGCAUAUCCCCAUCACAGACUUUCUGCAGCCUGGCUGCCUGUCUUGACAGCUGUGUUCUAUUGCAAGACACUCUGGACUAUGUAGAAAUAUUAUUUCUAUGCUCAACCUGUGAGGUAUGGGAGAAAGAAGGUAAGUCUGACUUACGAGUCAAAUUUUUUGGGGGUGUGGAAGACUAGUCAGUGAGGGAACAUAAGAAGAUGAUGAUUGGGGAAUGGAAUUCUUGGUGUUGGUUUUAAUUAGAAUCAUCCUGUUCAUCACUCAUAUUGUGAGAUGAAAAUUGAAAAGAUCCAUUAUUACAGUACACUCAAAGAAGAAAUAUUUGUAUUAGUUAAUGAGCAAUUCUAAUUGACCUGCCAAAUAUAAUUGAGUUGAAAUACAGAUCUAUUCCAACAAUGUUUUCCUUAUUGUAGUGUAUGAGAGAAACACAGCUGGCAUUUUAUUUCUUUAAUCUGUCUGUGCUCUAAUGACUUUUGUCUAAAAUUGAUACUAUUAAUUCAGUAUUAAACUUCACAAUAAUGUCAGCCAAAAAUUAAGCCCAAUCAACAAACCUUUUUCUCAUGAGUACAAGCCUUCUUAUGCCUCUCCCCUUAAAAAAGUAAAAAUGUGACACUUGUGUUCUGGAAGAGUGACUGCAGUAAACCAGAGGAGGAAGUUGAUGGAUGGCUGGGAGAGCUCAGAGCUGAAGGUUCUUCUGUUUAUUGGUGGACUUUGUUCUUGCUGAGGAGGAAUCAGCCAUUGAACUUCUCUGCUUGUUUUCUCCUAGGUGUGGUGCUGUGAUGUAGCAAGUGAGGUAUGUUCUACCUGUCACUGCAGGAAGUCAUGUAGAGUGACCUGUGUUCUGAUCUCCCUUCCAGCAGUGCAGACCAACUGAAGUGGCCCAUGCUGUUACUUUACAUGUACUACAAAUUAGAUUAGAAUCUGCUUCGCCUAGAUUUAAUUAGCUGGCAGUAUCAUUAAAAUACUUUCUGGAGCCUUUGCACUGUAGCAUGAAACAUGAAGCAUUUUUAAGACUUAAACCUCUCUAAAUGAAGGCAAGCAAUCAAAGAUCCACAUGUCAAGGGGAGGAGUUGAAGAGGUUUGUAUUUAGAUUAUUCCACAUCAUAAAACUCAAUAAAACUGUCAGGCUAAGUGGGUACAAGCAACCCUUUCACCUCCCAGUUGAUACAGAAGACUUUUCUUGCUUAGCAUGAAUGUUUCUGUAGACCGCAUCUUCCUCAUAACCAUUUUUCGGCUUCUGACUAAAAAAUAUGUAGGGAGAUGUUCCAGUGUAAGUACUUUAAAUUGCUACCAAGGUGCCAGAUGCCUUACCUAAAAAUAGUGGUAGGGAAAAAGCCUUACGUGAUUGCUUUCCUUUUCUAAAACACACAGUUACGGCAGUUUUGACAUUGUUCCACUCGGGUCAUCAAAUUCAUACAAGCUAUUGUACUACAGUGUAAAGCAUACAUUUUAGAAGAAUGAAAAGUACAGGAAGUUUGAUGUGUGAACAUAAAUUUACUCAUCUUUUAUAUAACACCUUCUUGAGGUGCUGACGUUUUCAGUACAUUAAUUGUUCAUAAUGAAUACUCUUGCAUAAAACAUUUCAAAGGUAAUUUUCUGAGGCCAAAGAAUGACUAAAAAGUUAUUCACUAAAGAGCAGUCAGUCUGUAUCCAAAAGGAGACUUACAGGAUGUGAAAUGAACUGACUUCACAGUCAAGAAGUUUGCCUGCAUGAAAGAAUCUGCCCUUCUGCAGGUUUGAUGCCUUUAGAGGGAAGCUACAGAAGUGGUGUUGGCUGGUGUAGAGGCAAAAUUAGUAUGUUCUGAUUAUGUGCCAUUGAAGGAAAGGGGAAAAAAAGCUUUGGGCAAAAUAUCCAGACCUUCUCUAUAAGAAGUCUUAUCUCUGCUACAGAUAAUAUGUGAUCAGUUUUGUGCCAUGAACUUCAGGGUGGACAGUACUAAUCAGUAAAGAUAAGGUAUGUUUAAAGAAUAUACUUAGAACCAAGGAAAAGAAUCAUACUGUUUACAGGCAGUAGGUUUUAAACAACCUGUCAAAUAUUUCUUGGCUGUUACAAUCUCUCCUAAGAGCUUUUCCUGGUUUGUAAAGGAAAGUAAUGUGAAAUCAAUAGUGGUAUUUAAAAAUUCACAGAACAUUUCCCAGCCGAAGUUUCACUUUCAGAUGCCACUAAUGCAACAGGCAGAGCAGGCAGAAAUCACAGACUUGACCUUAAUGGCAAACAAAAGAGAGUACAGAGGAAAGUGAAGCAAAGAAAGAUUCUUUCAGAAGCAACUAGGAGGAAGACCUGCUGACUCCCCCCACAAGAGCAAACCUCCAGAGCUGCCAUGGGCAUCAGUUUGCUGAAGUCCUUUGUUUGGAGAUGCAGUCUAGUUGCCAUGCUGAAUUGCAGCUGAAGAAUGCAAACUGGUGUAAACCGCCACAAAGCAUUCACAUAAUGGUGAAAACCAACAAGAAACGCAGUAAAACAAGUUUCCUAUCGCAUAUUACAACAGUAUGACCUGCUGGACUUCAGACAAUGGAGAGGAAAUGUUUGCUAGUUCAGGUUGCCUCAUUCCAUUAUCCCAGAAGACUUGGGAUCAUUGUGGAAAUGGGAAGAAACAAGGUGCAUAAUUAGAUCUGCUUGUUAGUUUGCAUCUUUUAAUGGAAGUACAAAGAGUAAUACAGUACAUAGUGACCUUGCAGCUGUAUAUGAAGUUAGGCUACAUCUCUGCUGAAGAAGAUGCAUCAUUAGUUACAACUUGUAUGAGUUCAUACAACUGUAAUUACCUGUAGUUGCCACACUUGACCUGUGAAGGUAAAUAGGAUUUGUCAGUAUCCCCUCACCUCUCCAGAAUAAUGCAGAACUAUUUUUCCAGCCUCUUGCAUGGGCUAUUCAGAAAUAGCAGAAGAGCAAGCCAGUGGAGCUUGGGUGUGGUGGCCUUUCCUGAAAGGCUGAUUUCCUCAGCUGCUGGACCCAAGGGUGAGGUUCAGAGAGUUUGCUCUCAGUAUUAUCUCUAGACACCAUGCUCAUGCUUUCUCAGUGGCAUUCAAACAGAUUAUAAAUAGGCUGUGUUAUUUCUCAUGAUGAUUUCUAGUUUGGGGAGUUCAUGUGUCUUACACUUCCCCAAGUUGUUUUUUUUUUCUCUGAACUUAAGAGUUAGAAAUUUGUUUUUCAGAUUCACAUGAAGCACUUGACUCCAGAAGCUGCAGCUUCAACCAGCAGAUUAGAGAGUCAUGAUAAAAUUGGCAGAAUUGUACUGCUCUAAGCACUUUGAGACAUAUGCUGCUUUUCCUACUCCUGGAAGUAGUCCCACAGAUGUCUCAUGAUUAUUCACUUGAGUCAUGAUUGCAGAAUUGAGUUUUUGGUGUUUUGGAUUCCCAGUUUCCUACACUGCAUAUUUGAAGUGCCAAUUCUAAUAGAAGACUUACCUGGUUUAAAACAUAAAAGAUACGUUUUGCCAAAACUCAGUGUUUUGAACUUGUAUGGAAUCACCUCUUGACUUAACAUUUGGUCAAAAUGAGACAUCUCCAAGG